GAUGAACGCUAGCGACAGGCUUAACACAUGCAAGUCGAGGGGCAGCAUAGAAGUAGCAAUACUUUGGUGGCGACCGGCGCACGGGUGAGUAACGCGUAUGCAACCUACCUAUCAGAGGGGGAUAACCCGGCGAAAGUCGGACUAAUACCGCAUAAAACAGGGGCACCGCAUGGUGAUAUUUGUUAAAGAUUAAUUGAUGAUAGAUGGGCAUGCGUUCCAUUAGGUAGUUGGUGAGGUAAUGGCUCACCAAGCCGACGAUGGAUAGGGGAACUGAGAGGUUGGUCCCCCACACUGGUACUGAGACACGGACCAGACUCCUACGGGAGGCAGCAGUGAGGAAUAUUGGUCAAUGGGCGAGAGCCUGAACCAGCCAAGUCGCGUGAAGGAAGAAGGAUCUAUGGUUCGUAAACUUCUUUUGCAGGGGAAUAAAGUGGAGGACGUGUUCUCUUUUGUAUGUACCCUGAGAAUAAGGAUCGGCUAACUCCGUGCCAGCAGCCGCCGUAACAC
rnacentral:rRNA from 1 species